rnacentral:rRNA from 1 species
AUUGAACGCUGGCGGCAGGCCUAACACAUGCAAGUCGAACGGUAACAGGAAGCAGCUUGCUGCUUUGCUGACGAGUGGCGGACGGGUGAGUAAUAUCUGGGAAACUGCCUGAUGGAGGGGGAUAACUACUGGAAACGGUAGCUAAUACCGCAUAACGUCGCAAGACCAAAGAGGGGGACCUUCGGGCCUCUUGCCAUCGGAUGUGCCCAGAUGGGAUUAGCUAGUAGGUGGGGUAACGGCUCACCUAGGCGACGAUCCCUAGCUGGUCUGAGAGGAUGACCAGCCACACUGGAACUGAGACACGGUCCAGACUCCUACGGGAGGCAGCAGUGGGGAAUAUUGCACAAUGGGCGCAAGCCUGAUGCAGCCAUGCCGCGUGUAUGAAGAAGGCCUUCGGGUUGUAAAGUACUUUCAGCGGGGAGGAAGGGAGUAAAGUUAAUACCUUUGCUCAUUGACGUUACCCGCAGAAGAAGCACCGGCUAACUCCGUG